rnacentral:pre_miRNA from 1 species
CAAAUACUCCCUCCGUCCAGAAAUACUUGUCAUCAAAAUGGAUAAAAGGAAAUGUAUCUAGACGUAUUUUAGUUUUAGAUACAUCUAUUUUUAUCCAUUUUGAUGACAAGUAUUUUUGGAUGGAGGGAGUAGAAA